UACAGGGGGGGCAAGCGUUGUUCGGAUUCACUGGGCGUAAAGGGUGCGUAGGCGGUCGGGUAAGUCUGAUGUGAAAUCUCACAGCUUAACUGUGAAACUGCAUUGGAUACUAUCCGGCUCGAGGAAUGGAGGGGAGACUGGAAUACUUGGUGUAGCAGUGAAAUGCGUAGAUAUCAAGUGGAACACCAGUGGCGAAGGCGAGUCUCUGGACAGUUCCUGACGCUGAGGCACGAAGGUCAGGGGAGCAAACGGG
rnacentral:rRNA from 1 species